rnacentral:tRNA from 1 species
ACACCUGUAGCUCAGUGGAUAGAGCGCCGCCCUCCGGAGGCGGGUGCGUGGGUUCGACUCCCGUCAGGUGUG